ensembl:lncRNA
UGCACAUUGCCAGCAAACACUAAGCCCUUAUCUCUCCACUGGGCCUCUCCGGAGAGUUUACAAUUUCUCGCUUCGUUGGAGCCUGAGCUGAGCUUGUUACUGGCACAAAGGCUGAGAGGUGGCCUGGUUGAGAGCACAAAGCCGCCCCCACCUCUGGACAGACACAUUUCCCUCAGAUAACGGACGACUUGUUGGACAGCGGCACUACACUGUCCCUAUACAUUAGUAUGACAGCCACACAUCCUCCGCACACAGGGACUCACAACAAAGUUAAAGUUAAAUAAAUAACUAAAUAAAUGUCACUGAAAGCUCCUUAUUAAUCAGACGUGUCAGAGGUGGUAGAGGGACAUGAACUCAGCAGAUGUGGUCUCGGUCCCUGGGAGACACUUUACCUUCUCGCCAUGGGCGCUAUUCUCCGAGGGCAUGAGCAUCACAGACAACGUCCCAUUUGCUACUCCGCUGAUUACAUUAGGUCCCGAGGGGAUUGUUGAGCAGAACACAGGCUUGAAAUUUAGGGCAAAUGUGCCUUUUAACCACAUCAAAAUCCAUGUUCAGUCAUUUUUAGGCAAAUGAAUCUAUUUCAACUCUUCUGGGUAACGUUCAUACACAUUUUCAGUCCUUUUCCAACCCUUUAAAACCACAUGCACUGCUACAAAUGUCAAAAGAUUUCUUUUUGGAAAAAAAAAAAACCCCACAAAAACAAAAAACAAGGUAAUGACAUCCUGGGUCGAUCCUUUUGACAGUUUAAAUACUGCACCAAUUAAUACAAAGUUAUCAAAAAUAAACUAAACAAGAUGUCGUAAAGAAAAUUUUCUCAGCUAAAGAAAUUUAAAGAAGAAAAAACAUAUUAACUUGUGAGGAAAAAAACCUUUACAGUAGAACACAAAACAAAAACACAUGAAAAUAAAUAAGUGCUGUUUUCUUGAAAUAUGUCAUCUCUCUUUGAGAACAAGCCUCAGUGACACAUGGAAAAAAAGGGAGAAAUGGUGAAUUAUUCAUGUGUAACUAAACCAGAAAAUAUUGCCAUCGUCUGAGCAUAAAAGUACACUCCAGUUUGCAGCUGAUUAAUAACCUGGAGAUUCAAAGACAAAAAAUAUUCUGCACAUAAUCAGCCGAUGAGGUAACCCAAAUCUCCUCUUACUGAUGACAUCUCAAGUUCAAAUGUUGAUACUGUAAUUUCACCAUUUUUGUUUACAGAUACUGAUUACGCUGUUACAUGCAAACAGAAACCCCCCGAGGUCGAGCGACAGUAAAUGGAAGCGUUUACCCUCAACGGGAUGCACAGAGACCCUCGAAUCCAG